CGUAGGGUGCGAGCGUUAAUCGGAAUUACUGGGCGUAAAGCGUGCGCAGGCGGUUUUGUAAGACAGAUGUGAAAUCCCCGGGCUCAACCUGGGACCUGCAUUUGUGACUGCAAGGCUAGAGUACGGUAGAGGGGGAUGGAAUUCCGCGUGUAGCAGUGAAAUGCGUAGAUAUGCGGAGGAACACCGAUGGCGAAGGCAAUCCCCUGGACCUGUACUGACGCUCAUGCACGAAAGCGUGGGGAGCAAACAGGAUUAGAUACCCUGGUAGUCCACGCCCUAAACGACGUCAACUGGUUAUUGGGUCUUUACUGACUCAGUAACGAAGCUAACGCGUGAAGUUGACCGCCUGGGGAGUACGGCCGCAAGGUUG
rnacentral:rRNA from 1 species